CACCCCUCGCCGCCCUGCCCUGGGGGCGGCCAACCAGGGACCGCUCCCCGGGCUGCGGGGGGCGGGGAGGGGCCGUAACAGCGCCCCCCCCCCCCCCCAGCAGACACAGGAAGGGGCACAAUGGGGAUCGCGUCCCCACCUCUGCCACCUCCCUCCCCGGCAGCGGGAUCCAGGGGGAGGCGGAGGGGCAAGCGGGGACCCGGAGCAGGAUCAAGGGGAGAGACGGGGCAAUCAGGGAGCGUGUUUCCCCCCGGCGGCCCCGCUCCCCACUAGGCCCCAGCUGGAUCCCCGGUGUGGCGUGGCCGGGCCGGCCGGCGGCCUUACCGCCUCCACGGCGUGCUGCAGGAUGGAGGUAUUCAGUGGAAGGAGUUCGUAAAGGGCUCCUGGAAAGGGUGAAAUGUCUCUGGGAAGAUGGGGUUCCCUACCGAGGCCCUGAUGACUGGAUUGAUCCCCAGAUUAUGAACAAACAGAAAAAUGAAGGUGAAGAGAACUGAGUUAGCUCCAGAAGCCAAUAUUUUAAGUUUCUCAUGUUGACCUGACUGGCAUAGUUGAUUUAAAUUUUUUUUUAAUAUUUCAUUUAACUAUUUUAGUUAAAAACAAUUUUGACGAAAACAGACUUGAUUUUAAAAAACUUGAAUGUUUAACUAAAUUCAAAAAUUCAUAUGCUUGUUUUGUUAAAAUAUUAUAUGUUUGCUGUUGAAGAAAAAAAAUCCAGAAUACAUAACGUUGUUGUUUUAGUUAAAUAAAACAAUUUAAAUGUCUGGUGAUGUUCUCCUAAUACAACAUGGCAAGAAAAUCCUCCAAAUAUUAAUGAUUAAGCUGUUGAACUGGAGAUAUUUAUUAAGUAAGUCAUUGGAAGGUGAACUAUCUGCUUCAAUUACCUUUGGUAAAUAAAAUAACCAAACAAUCAUUCAUUUUCUGAUAGAACUGUAAAACUAAUCUGAAAAG